GGGGCUAUAGCUCAAUUGGGAGAGCGUCUGGUUUGCAACCAGAAGGUUACCGGUUCGAUCCCGGUUAGCUCCA
rnacentral:tRNA from 1 species